rnacentral:rRNA from 1 species
UACGUAGGUGGCAAGCGUUGUCCGGAUUUAUUGGGUUUAAAGGGUGCGUAGGCGGUUUUGUAAGUCAGUGGUGAAAUACUCUAGCUUAACUAGAGGGGUGCCAAUGAUACUGCGGAACUUGAGUACAGAUGAGGUAGGCGGAAUUGACGGUGUAGCGGUGAAAUGCAUAGAUAUCGUCAAGAACACCGAUAGCGAAGGCAGCUUACUGGGCUGUAACUGACGCUGAGGCACGAAAGUGUGGGGAUCAAACAGG